GAUGAACGCUAGCGGGAGGCUUAACACAUGCAAGUCGUGGGGCAGCACGGGGUAGCAAUACUCUGGUGGCGACCGGCGCACGGGUGAGUAACGCGUAUGCAACCUGCCCUGUACAGGGGGAUAGCCCGGAGAAAUUCGGAUUAAUACCCCAUAAAGAUAUUGAGAGGCAUCUUUUAAUAUUUAAAGUUUCGGCGGUACGGGAUGGGCAUGCGUGACAUUAGCUAGUUGGUAGGGUAACGGCCUACCAAGGCUUCGAUGUCUAGGGGUCCUGAGAGGGUGAUCCCCCACACUGGUACUGAGACACGGACCAGACUCCUACGGGAGGCAGCAGUGAGGAAUAUUGGUCAAUGGGCGCAAGCCUGAACCAGCCAUCCCGCGUGCAGGAAGAAGGCGCUAUGCGUCGUAAACUGCUUUUUCAGGGGAAGAAAAUCUCGUACGUGUACGGGACUGACGGUACCCUGUGAAUAAGCAUCGGCUAACUCCGUGCCAGCAGCCGCGGUAAAAC
rnacentral:rRNA from 1 species